rnacentral:rRNA from 1 species
GACAGAGGAUGCAAGCGUUAUCCGGAAUGAUUGGGCGUAAAGCGUCUGUAGGUGGCUUUUCAAGUCCGCCGUCAAAUCCCAGGGCUCAACCCUGGACAGGCGGUGGAAACUACCAAGCUGGAGUACGGUAGGGGCAGAGGGAAUUUCCGGUGGAGCGGUGAAAUGCGUAGAGAUCGGGAGGAACACCAAAGGCGAAAGCACUCUGCUGGGCCACAACUGACACUGAGAGACGAAAGCGAGGGGAGCAAAAGGG